GUGGCUCAGUGGUAGAGUGCUUGCCUUGCAUGCAUGAGACCCUGGGUUCUAUUCCUCAGC
rfam:Dipodomys ordii contig_8106, whole genome shotgun sequence.